AACAUGACUCUCGGCAACGGAUAUCUCGGCUCUCGCAUCGAUGAAGAACGUAGCAAAAUGCGAUACCUGGUGUGAAUUGCAGAAUCCCGUGAACCAUCGAGUUUUUGAACGCAAGUUGCGCCCGAAGCCUUCUGGUUGAGGGCACGUCUGCCUGGGCGUCACGC
rnacentral:rRNA from 2 species